GGUGACGAGGGGGCCGGAUGUGCGGGAAGAGGGAGGGGUGAAGCGGUGUCCGGGUUGAGGGGGCGGGAGUGGCGUGUAGGCGGCAAAGAAGGGCAGGUGUGAAAACGCGAGGCUCAACGUCGGGACGUCGGUGGAAACCGUUUGGCUAGAGGCCGGAAGAGGAGAGUGGAAUUCCCGGGGUAGCGGUGAAAUGCGCAGAUAUCGGGAAGAACACCCGUGGCGAAGGCGGCUCUCUGGGACGGUACUGACGCUGAGACGCGAAAGCGUGGGGAGCGAACAGGAUUAGAUACCCGUGUAGUU
rnacentral:rRNA from 1 species